UACGAAGGGGGCUAGCGUUGCUCGGAAUCACUGGGCGUAAAGGGUGCGUAGGCGGGUUUUUAAGUCAGGGGGGAAAUCCCGAGGCUCAACCUCGGAACUGCCUUUGAUACUGGGGAUCUGGAGUCCGGGAGAGGUGAGCGGAACUGCGAGUGUAGCGGUGAAAUGCGCAGAUAUCAGGAGGAACACCGGUGGCGAAGGCGGGUCUCUGGGCCGAUACUGACGCUCAUGCACGAAAGCGUGGGGAGCAAACAGG
rnacentral:rRNA from 1 species